rnacentral:rRNA from 2 species
GGAAGUAAAAUCGUAACAAGGUCUCCGUUGGUGAACCAGCG